UCCGCCGGAUAUUACAAUUA
rnacentral:sRNA from 1 species